ACUAUUCUUUCUUUUCCUCUUUCUCGUGGCGUCUCGCCUUGCUGCCGCGCUAUUUGUAGAUCUUUUUCACUACGCAGAGAAAGAGAUGGGAGCGGUUUUGUUUUCUCCGUUGCUCUCUGCAAAUAACUGAAAAUGGGAAGGAGAGAUUUGGAGGAAGGUGAAUUCUCCGACUGAAGAAAUCUGGCAGAAAAUUGAGGAAAAUAGAAAUUAAGGCUGGAAUUUUAUUGCUUUAUGUCUGCGCAAAACCCCAAAUAUUUCUAAACCUUUCGCUUGGGGUUUUAACUUGUUAAGGAGUGAAACGAUGAUGAUUAAGAGAUGGAGAAGUGAGAAUUCUUCUCAUUGAUUGAAUUGUGUUUUUGUUUAAUUGUAAGUAACUGAAAUCGAGAAUGGGAGAGUUGAGCUCCGAAAUCGACGUUUUAGCGGCGGAGGAGCGGGCGGAUUUUGGCGUGGCGCGGAAGGCGUCUCCUCCGGCUGAUCCGGGGUUGAUUAAGUGUUUGUCUGCGGCGGGGGAUGCGGCGGAACUGGUGCUGAAUUGUGUACACCCCACACUCGACUCGGAGGAGAAGAGGAGAGACGUCAUCGAUUACGUUCAGCAGCUCGUCAAGAGUCAAUUGAAUUGCGAGGUUGUUCCCUAUGGGUCAGUGCCUCUAAAGACGUACCUACCAGAUGGUGAUAUUGAUUUGACCAUCCUAAAAGGUCCAAAUGCGGAGGAAUCUUUGCCCCAUGACGUUCUCUCUCUUUUAGAGGCUCAAGAAAAGAAUGAAGAUACUGAGUACCAAGUAAAGGACACUCAGUUUAUUGAUGCUGAGGUCAAACUUGUGAAAUGCUUUGUGCAGAACAUUGUGGUUGAUUUAUCCUUCAAUCAGCUAGGUGGACUUUCAACGCUCUGUUUUCUUGAGCAGGUGGAUCGUCUUGUUGGGAAAAAUCACGUCUUUAAACGCAGCAUUAUCCUGGUUAAGACUUGGUGCUAUUAUGAGAGUCGUAUACUUGGGGCACACCAUGGUUUAAUUUCGACAUAUGCUUUGGAAAUUCUUGUCUUAUACAUAUUCCAUUUCUUCCAUUCAUCGCUAGACAGCCCUUUGUCGGUCCUCUAUAGAUUUCUGGAUUACUACAGUCAGUUUGACUGGGAUAAUUAUUGCAUCAGUUUAAAAGGUCCAGUUCAUAAAGCAUCCCUGCCUGAAAUAGUUGUGAAGAUGCCCGAACACCGGUGCAACCGUCUGCUGCUUACUGAAGAAUUCUUGAACAGGUCCAUGGAACUGUUUUCAGUUCCAUCCAGGGGACUUGAUGCAAACCCGAAAGCAUUUCAACCAAAACAUCUGAAUAUUAUCGACCCACUGAAGGAAAACAAUAAUCUUGGGCGCAGUGUACACAGAGGAAAUUUUUUCCGCAUAAGGAGUGCAUUUAAGUAUGGUGCUCACAAGCUCGGUCAGAUUCUUUUACGCCCAACAGAUGAAGUUGGGGAGGAGAUCCGUAAGUUUUUCUCAAAUACCCGUGCAAGACAUGAGCAUCAACAUCAAAGUGGCGCUGGACCCUUGGCCCUAGAAUUUAGUGAUGAAGAGUCGUUGACUGCAUCUUUAUCAUCCCCGAUUGAACUUUUAUCUGAUGAUGACAUGCUUGGAAAUUCUUCCAUCAGUGAUUUUGAGAAUGGAAGUGUCUCUGAUGAACAGAUAUCUAUAUUAGAGUCUAGUGGUGAGCUAGACAGGCACUCGACGAAGGAAGAUUCACCUGAGAUGGCAUCGGAAGCUUGCGAUUCUGCUGAUGAGGCUUUUGUUUCAAGGAGGAAGUAUGGCCUCGCAACAUCUUAUUCACAUUCAAGGAGUGACAGGCAAGCUUAUGCAUUAAGCUCCAGUAAUGGCGGAUCUUUGCCUGAGAAUCAUUUCCAUAAACUGCAUUAUCUUGCCUCAAGAUCAUCUGCAGAAAGUGGAACCUCAGAGGAUCACCAAAUCGGUUCAGCAUGUGAUUCGGAGAAGUUUGGCUUCAAUCCCUGGCUGAAGAACAGAGAAGAAUGCGUUCAAAUGGAUAACACAUUUCAAUGGUGUAUGGACAACCAUGAAGCUGCCUGCAGCUGCAUUACUGGUUCUAAUUCGACUUCAAAGGCAAGCAUUACUGAAAAUCGACCUAUUGAUUUUAGAGAAAUUGACUCUGCAAGCGCGGGAGGCGAAUCAGAAACUUUCAAUCCACUAGCUGAUCUAACUGGAGAUUACGACAGCAACAUUAGGAGCUUGCUUCAUGCUCAACUCUGCCAUGGGUUUGCGUUAUCUGCAGCAUCUUCCAAGAAUCCUUCAUCACUGCCUUCAAAUAUCCAAAAGAAGCCAUGGGAAGUUGUUCGUAAAUCAGUAAUACUCGAGGAGAAAGAGUUCCCGAAAAUUGAUAUACACUUCAUGCCCACGGACCACAUUAUGUAUGCUGGCAUGGAUUCUACCUUACUUGGUUCUCCGCGUCGUGAAGGGACAGCGAAAGCUCGAGGACUUGGCACCUACUUCCCGAAUAUGAGUACUUACUACAUGGAGAGGCCUUCCAAUUGGAGGGGAAGGAAUAACUUUCCAGGCAACCAAAACUACCACAAAUACAACCAUAGUAACGGCUCAUACCCAGCUGUCGAGUCACAUUGUUCCAUAAAUGGCAUCCGUGAUGUGCUACCUGCACAAAGAGGACAAAGAAAGAGGCCAGAUGUAACGUGCCAAUCUCCUCGUUCACCUGGAGGUGGGAAUCCGAUCAAUGGGUGCAUAAUCGAGUUUGGUUCCAUUGGGAACCUUGCAGAAGUGGUCUUAUCAAGCUCAACUAUGGGCUCGGAAACACAGGGAGGAAGGGUUGCAGGGCAGUCGAUCCACCUGAAGAAUGAAGACGAGUUCCCUCCUCUGUGCCUAUGAACUUGUACAGAAGAGCUGAUGGGGGCAAUGCGGAUUCAGAGACUAACUAUAAACGGAAGUAGGUAGCCAUAACCACUCUCGUAUGAUUCGUACGUGGGAUACAGUGGUAUAGCGUUCGGGUUCAAUCGUGUGAACUUAGCUCCAUCGAGCCAUUGUUACCGAUGAACUAAGGAAGUAUUCAUGUUUUUUCAUGAAUGAGGGGGUGAUUAUACUAUUUUUCCGGCUCGACGCUACAGGACAUUUAGGCUCUCAGGACAGUCGAGAGGGGCAGCCCGCCCCCUCCUACUCCUAAUUCGCUUUUGGUGACGAGCAAUUAUUUGUAACAUACUUUAACAACUUCUUAUGGGGAUU